ACAUCCUUCUAUUUGGUCGAUUUUAUAAUGCGAUAUCCCAGGACUAGUAUCGCCGACCCUUUCUAUUAUUAAGCACAUGCGGAAGCAAUUAAAAUCCCCAGACAAUAAAACGAUGGGAUAGAAAAGCAGGGCCAUAUUUUUCAUAUUGAAAUUUAUAACCAAACUUUUAUACAAAACAAAAACCACUUCAAAACUAUUCACAUCAAAAAGAGAUCUCAAAAGAAGGUAGACUUUCAGCCCAACCAGGCCAUACUCAAGGCCCCUCUCAGGUUUAUCUUCUUCUUCCAAAAAUCCUUCUCUUUAAGUUUCACCUCCGAAUUCUCCUUCUCAGACUCCUCCUCAUCAGCUCCUCAUCGGGGUCCUGAAAUGUUUUUCCCCAAACUGGGAUGAGACUACGUCUCAGCGAGUUCUACCCCACUAAGCCCGAUUAGUAGAACCACUAUACUAUAGGCUGCCUAUACACGCACANNNNNNNNNNNNNNNNNNNNNNNNNNNNNNNNNNNNNNNNNNNNNNNNNNNNNNNNNNNNNNNNNNNNNNNNNNNNNNNNNNNNNNNNNNNNNNNNNNNNUCACGAUCACUAGCAUAAAUUUCCGGUCACGGGCCAUCCCAGUUGAAUUUUCCGAAAAUAAAUAAUUAAUUAAUUAAUUUCAAAAAUUAAAUAAUUAAUAUUAAAAAUUCAAUUUAGCACAAACUAAAACUCAAUUAAACAAACGGACUUCACCAUGGUCAUCAGCAUAAUUUUCCGGUUCCAGGCCAUCUCAGUUGAAUUUUCAGAAAAUAAAUAAUUAUUUAAUUUAAUUCCGAAAAUUAAUAUUUAAAUGCCCAAAAAUCUCACUUAGGCCCGAAUUGCCAAAUUGGAGCCCACUAAGGGUCGGGAAAAAUCCCGAGGCACUUCCAAUAAUUAGUAGACCACGUCUACUUGUUAAUUGCACAAUCAAUUUAUCUAAAUCACAACACAAUUGACUAAUAAUUGCUAAUUUAUUCUAAUCUAACAACCUAAACACAAUUAAUUAAAACUAAACCAACCUUAAGCAUAAUUAGCCAACUAAUCCAGGAUUAGUGAGAUUACUCACCAAAUCGCGCGCAAAUCGGAUCAAUCCGACGGCGGCGGCGCGAGGAACGAUUGUCCCCAAAGCACGGCUCGGGUUCGGGGCCGGGAAACGGCCCAAAACGGCCCACGAACAGCUGGAUACCCACUCCGUGGGUUUGCUGGUUCAGCCGCAAAACAGCAAGAAAGAGAGAGGGUUGGGGGCGGCAAGAGGUCGAGAGAGCGGGUGGUGGCUUGGCGAGGCCAAGCGGUGGUCCACGGUGGCCGGAGGUGGCCGGAUCGUGGCUGGUGCUGGCCAAGACGGAGCUGAACAGAGGCGGCACGGGAGCUGGACGACGCACGGCGGGGACGGCAAACGCGAAGGGGCGGUGGCGGAGCGCGCGGCGUGCGCGGGUGGUGCGGACGGCGGCCCGGCGGCGUGCGGCGAGCUGCGAGCGAGCGGCGACGGAGCUGCAGCUUCUGGUCUUCCUCCGCUUCUGGUUAGAAGGAGAAGAAGAGCUGGUUCAUUCGCUCGGGCGUGCAGAGGAAGAAAGAGAAGAAAGAGAGAGAGAGAGAGAUAAGCAUUGACUGGUCAAAGAAAAGAGAGGGAAGUGAGCGGUGGGGGAUUUUCGCACGAGGGGGAGGGGAGAGGAGAGAGAAAGAAAAGAGAGAAAAGAAAGAAAAGAAAAGAAAAGAGAGGGAGAGAGAGAAAAAGAAAAAAGAACAAUAAUAUUCUAAAUUUUCUUUUUCUCUUUCCAUUUCCCUUUUCUAAUGCCUUCCGGUCUUCGAUUUUUCCUCCGAUAAUUUCUUUAUUGAAAUUUCGGACCCGUCAAUAAAUUGACGAGCGAUGAGACAGGAUCCUAUUUAUUCAGACAAAUUAAACCCGAAAAUCUGGAUGUCACAACUCUUCCCCUCUUAUAAAAAUUUCGUCCUCGAAAUUUAAACCUUUAUCAAUCCAUAAACGAAAGGUGGGGAUAUUGCCGUCUCAUCGAGUCUCACUUCUCCACGCUGAUCAUUCGGUCUCGUGGCGUUGUUUGACCAUUUUGACCAAGGAGAUCAUCUUGGUACACAAACUCUCCUCUUUCUGAACCAACAACUGAACUGAGCUUCUCACAAGACACUCUGUCAUCCACAUCUGAUCUCUUUUUCUUUACUCCUUAAUAAACCUUUGAACCUCAACGGUUCAAAAUUUCUGACAGCUCUGAGUAGCCUUUAUUCUGACAUUGAUCUGACAACUGCAAAUACUGAUCACUGAGCUGACUCUGGACUUGCGAUUUUCUGAUUUCUGAUCUCGUCUCAACCGAUUGAAAUCCUGUACACUCUGCUUUGCACAGAUUAAAAAGAAACUAUCUGACUGAUCUGCUGAAACUGGGAAUCUCUGGUCAAGAUCUUAUAUAACUCUGGUACUGAUCUUGGCAACUGUAAUCACUGGCUACUGCAAUGACUUUGGCCUGAAAUCUUUAUUCACUUUCUUUUCCCCACUGAAAUUCUGUACCAUCUGCUAUACACUGCUUAAUAAAGAAUCCUCUGAAAACUCUGCCGAACUUAUAAUCUCUGAUUUAGAUUCGAAAUAUAAUUCAUCCUCGACACUCCAUGCCGGCGAAUUAUUUAAUGCACACACACUUNNNNNNNNNNNNNNNNNNNNNNNNNNNNNNNNNNNNNNNNNNNNNNNNNNNNNNNNNNNNNNNNNNNNNNNNNNNNNNNNNNNNNNNNNNNNNNNNNNNNNNNNNNNNNNNNNNNNNNNNNNNNNNNNNNNNNNNNNNNNNNNNNNNNNNNNNNNNNNNNNNNNNNNNNNNCACUCGACACAUUGGCGACCCUCGAUUAUCGUGAAAAUCUUAAAGGUUCAAAUAUGGACACAGGGUACCAAAACGAUAGAAACAUCAAAUUAGUACCGGUCGAUGAGAAUUUUCCAAUUUAGUGGAGUCACCCACGAUCGGUCAUUCAUCUCAGUCGAGCCGAUCUAUUUCUGAUUUCAAAUCGAUUUUAUACUGUGCCGCAAUGAUCUCUAAAGAUGAGCACGGUCGAGGAGUCGAUCCAUGGUCGAAUUCUCAAGUCUAUUUGCCUUAAGGUCCUUAAUAACUCACCCAGCUAGUCUAGUUAUCUCAUGAGUGGCCAACUCAGAGAAAAACACUGUAAUUGCAUCGAGGAAAUGCCCAAUUUAUCUAAUCGAAAUCAGAGGCCGAAAUCUGGAUCGCACACUCAAAACAAGAUAUAUUCAUACUGUACCAAAGUGGACCAACUCCAUCUAUCGAUCAACCACUAUUCUCAAAUGGUAUCAGUAAUCCCCUGAAUCUUUAGUAAGCCUAUCACAAUGUUCCAUUGUGAUAUAUUUCCAUUUUCACUUGGGACUCUCAAGUGAUGGUAAAAUCCUCCCGAUUCGCAUUCCACUUACUGACACUUUUGACGCUUUCAACCUGCUUAGCUGUAUUUAUCUUCAUAUCAGCUUACUAAUCUAGCUCAUGCCGAUUCUGAUUUACUUGCACCAUCUGGACAAAGCUGCAAUAUUAUAGCGAACUUCUGACAAAAUCUUUUCCCUGAGUGCUACACUGUCAAGUGCACUCAAUUUCCUCAUGGAACCCAAACGUUCCAUUCUCAGAAGUUUUAAAGUUAGAUUCUUUCUUGCCAAUAUCCUCUUAUAAGAUCUCCUGAACAUCUCUGUCUGUCAACUAGGUGCCAAUUCUAACUUGAACAUUUGGUUCAAUUUUGAGGGCGGCUAUAAAAUUUAAAAGGUAGCCUACCUCAAAUUUGAAAACCAAAUUUCGAACCCUUUUUAAGUAAAGUUUAUACUUUAGCCAGCCUAUGUAUAAUCAAAGACUCUGGGCUCAACACAUAAAUUACUUCUUUCAUUCUCCCAAGAUAAUACCAGAUAACAUCAUUAUAGUUCUGCCAAAAUUCUGAUUCACGACACUGUUUCAUGUUCAACUUGUUGGGUCUCAACUGGCGGGACGGUUAUACAACAAUCUUCUCAUGUUGUAUCAAUACAUACCCAAUCGUUGGCAAGACACAUCACUAAAGGUUUCAUGCUUUCCAGAGCCAAAUGAAAGUUUAGCAUAAGUGCGGUGGCCUGAUCUUACUGAAGCUCUGGAAACUAUCCUCGUACUUAUCUAUGCCAAUGAAUUUCUCUUCUUUCUCAAGAGGUCAAGCCCAUGAUGAUACUGAUGCUGAAAAUUCUUUCACAAACCUUCCGUAGUAAUCUGUCCAAUCCCCACAACUUCUGAUCUCUGACAUUGAUGUCGGUCUCGGUCCAUUAACAACUGAUUCGAUCUUGGUUGGUUCCAUGAAGAUUCCUUUACCUGUAACCACACGACCAUUCUUAGGGGCAUCUUGUGAUUCUCAACACUUAAUGAACACCCUAUAAUGUCGCUAUACCACACGAUCACCGUUGAUCUAGAUAUUCUUUGAACACUCGAUUUGUCAAAUCUAUGACAGCGGCUGGAGCGUUCGUCAAAUCAGAUGGCUUUACAUUAUUCUCACAAGGACAAAAUCAAGUGCGAAAUGCCAUCUUCAAUAUAACCUCCUUCCUGGUUCUCAACUGACAAUAACCUGUCCUCAAGUCAAUUCUUGAAGACAUCCACACUCUUUAUAACAAGUCGUCUAAUUCGUCGAUCUUUGACAAUGAACACUUAUCUUUGAUUGUCACUUGAUUGGGUCGAUUAUAGUUGAUGCAUAAUUGCAACGAACCAUCUUUCUUUCUCUUUUCACAAAACUGAUGAUCCCUAAAGUGAUGCACUGAUAUGCAUGAAUUCAUCAUUCAUCAAUCCCCACAUCUGAACCAUUAGUUCUAUCAAUUCAAACAACAACCACCGGUAAGGACUUUUAGAGAAUGGUUCUGUUCCAGAUGUUAACUCAAUCGUAAUUCUAUCUUUUUCUCUGGCAACGGUCUGACCACUUUUCUGGCAACACUUCCAAGAAUUCUUGGACUACUGAGGAGUUCUCAAUUUUUAAUUCUUCAAUCUGUCUUAUCUCAGAUCAUUGCUCACUAAUCUCGAUAACUUCUGUCUGACAAUCAGGUUACCUCAAGUGACGAAAUCAAAGAAGUCAAGAACCCUUCUCAAUUCUCAGUAAAACUCGGUACUUCUACAUGCUCCUGGAAUAAGCUGGGUUACUCUACCAUAACAAUUCAUCACCAUAAAAUGCUCAAGAACCAAUUCUUUCUACACUUGACGAAUAAGUUAUACACCAACAGCCAAUCAAGUAUAACUCUAGUCAAUGGUUCUUUUCCUACAGCCUUAACAAACAACUGAAAUUCCACACUUACAAUCCCAACAUUCUCUGGCACUAUUCUGAUAAAAUCACCACAAAAUAUUCUUUCAUUGAAUAAGGCAUAGUCGGUUCCGUUCCUGUUCCUUUUGCCAUAUUGCUGGUGUUCCAAUGGUAGUAAUAGUGUUGGUGUUCUUCUUAAACCCCAACCGAUAGUCCUUCACUUGAUGGCCGUGCUCACUACCAUCAAAGCAUGUUCUAGUCAUUCUCGAACACAGGAUUAAUCCAUGCAUUCCUUCCAUACUUUCGGCACUCAUCAGGUGAGUCUUCUAUCUCCUGCCCAGUGACAGCACACACUCUUUCUGGUUGUCCUAUCGGUCUGUUAGAACCGCUCUCGACUUCGAUCUUUUCCCUGACCGAUUUCCAUUUCUGCCUGAACUGGAUCUGUACCUUGACUUGGAAGCGAUGGCUCGAUCCCAAAUCAUAUCCCCACUCUGGAUCUCAACAGGUGUAGUAACAAAGGCGCUUGCAGUACUAACGGCAGUAGUGAUAGCGACAACGACAACAGCUUGAUCUUGAACUUACUGGCUCAUUCAAUUCCCAAGAAGUACUUGCAUCAGAACGAUCCUAUCGAACUUAGGAUCAUUCGACGCUGCUACACUAGUACCAACCUGCAGUGGUACUCUUACACUUGAGCUGGCCAGAGCCGACACUCUGCCACAACCACCUCGGGUACCGACCUUUGUCAGUGCAUUAUCCCGAGUCACAGAGGACAUUGUCCUCUUACUAGGAGUUCUCAGCUCCUGCUCGCUCAUGGUUCAGUCUUUACACUGAAACCCGACUUCCAAAUCCACACUGGAUUAGAAGGUGAGCGAUCCACACACCACAAACAAUUUUGGCAUUCAGCUAACAUAAACAUGCACCAGCAUGAAUUUAAAGGCCUUUCCUACUAACUAUCCCAUGGUCAACGCUCCUUAUCACUCCAAUCUUCAACUUAGCUCUGAUACCACUUAAACAGGUUGUCACGCCCCGAUCCUCAGGCACGUGCACAUCCUUCUAUUUGGUCGAUUUUAUAAUGCGAUAUCCCAGGACUAGUAUCGCCGACCCUUUCUAUUAUUAAGCACAUGCGGAAGCAAUUAAAAUCCCCAGACAAUAAAACGAUGGGAUAGAAAAGCAGGGCCAUAUUUUUCAUAUUGAAAUUUAUAACCAAACUUUUAUACAAAACAAAAACCACUUCAAAACUAUUCACAUCAAAAAGAGAUCUCAAAAGAAGGUAGACUUUCAGCCCAACCAGGCCAUACUCAAGGCCCCUCUCAGGUUUAUCUUCUUCUUCCAAAAAUCCUUCUCUUUAAGUUUCACCUCCGAAUUCUCCUUCUCAGACUCCUCCUCAUCAGCUCCUCAUCGGGGUCCUGAAAUGUUUUUCCCCAAACUGGGAUGAGACUACGUCUCAGCGAGUUCUACCCCACUAAGCCCGAUUAGUAAACCACUAUACUAUAGGCUGCCUAUACACGCACAGGGCAGAAGACGUACCUUGGCAUCAGAUCCCACCUGCAAGUCAGUACAAUUCAUAAUAGGCACUCAAGCAAUCGUAUCACCGAUCAAAGCAUCGAUCAAAUCGACCUAGUCGAUUACAAGCUGACAAGACCACUCACGGUCAUUCACAUUCAGUCAAUCAAUUCACAACAUCAAAUCAAACAAUGAUCAAUCGACCUUGUCGAUUACAUGUCAACCUGACCAUUUCCCGGUCAUUCAAGCUAUUGCUAUUCAGAGUCCCACUCAGCAACAUUCAAUAUUUCAUGGCUUUACGGUCCCACUCGACCACUUGCAAGAUUCAAUGGCUUUACGGUCCCACUCGACCACUUUCAAGAUUCAAUGGCUUUACGGUCCCACUCGACCGCUUGCAAGAUUUAAUGGCUUUACGGUCCCACUCGACCGCUUGCAAGAUUUAAUGGCUUUACGGUCCCACUCGACCCCUUGCAAGAUUUAAUGGCUUUACGGUCCCACUCGACCGCUUGCAAGAUUUAAUGGCUUUACGGUCCCACUCGACCGCUUGCAAGAUUUAAUGGCUUUACGGUCCCACUCGACCACUUUCAAGAUUCAAUGGCUUUACGGUCCCACUCGACCGCUUGCAAGAUUUAAUGGCUUUACGGUCCCACUCGACCGCUUGCAAGAUUCAAUGGCUUUACGGUCCCACUCGACCACUUUCAAGAUUCAAUGGCUUUACGGUCCCACUCGACCGCUUGCAAGAUUUAAUGGCUUUACGGUCCCACUCGACCGCUUGCAAGAUUUAAUGGCUUUACGGUCCCACUCGACCCCUUGCAAGAUUUAAUGGCUUUACGGUCCCACUCGACCCCUUGCAAGAUUUAAUGGCUUUACGGUCCCACUCGACCGCUUGCAAGAUUUAAUGGCUUUUCAAUGAAAUAGUUAACCACAACCAUUUAGGAAUAUAUCCUAAAUUCCACAUUCAAUUCAAUUUGGCACAAUUCAAAGCUCAAAUAAAUAAACAGACUGCACCACGACAAUCAGCACGAGAUUUCGGUCGUCGGCCUUCAAAAUCUUAAUUUCCGAAAAAUAAUUAAUUAUUAAUUAAUUUCGAAAAUUAAUUAUUAAACAUUAAAAAUUCCGUUUAGCUCAAAAUAAGGCCCAAUUAAAUAAACGGACUUCACCACGGUCAUCAGCAUAAUUUUCCGGUUCCAGGCCAUCUCAGUUGAAUUUUCGGAAAAUAAAUAAAUAAAUAAUUAAUUUCGAAUAUUAAAUAAUUAAUAUUAAAAAAUUCAAUUUAGCUCAAAAUAAAGCCCGAUUAAAUAAACGGACUUCACCACAGUCAUCCGCAUAAUAUUCCGGUCACAAACCAUCUCCCUUGAAUUUUCGGAAAAUAAAUAAUUAUUUAAUUUAAUUCCGAAAAUUAAUAUUUAAAUGCCCAAAAAUCUCACUUAGGCCCGAAUUGCCAAAUUGAAGCCCAAUUAGGGGUCGGAAAAUUCCCGAGAUACUUCCAAUAAAUAGUAGACCACGUCUACUUGUUAAUUGCACAAUCAAUUUAUCUAAAUCACAUCACAAUUGACUAAUAAUUGCUAAUUUAUUCUAAUCUAACAACCUAAACAUAAUUAAUUAAAACUAAACCAACCUAAAGCAUAAUUAGCCAACUAAUCAAAGAUUAGUGAGAUUACUCACCAAAUCGCGCGCAAAUCGGAUCAAUCCGACGGCGGCGACGCGAGGAACGAUACUUCCCAAAGCGGGCCUCGGGUUCGGGGCCGGGAAACGGCCCAAAACGGGCCCAAACCAGCUGGAAACCCAUUUCGUGGGUUUCUGUCCUUGGCUGGUUGGAGCAGAUCCGGCGGCCAAAACGGCGAGGGGAGGCCGGCGGAGGGCUAAGGGAUCGCGGGGGAGGUCCGGCGGGGCUAGGCGGUGGCCGAACGGAGCUGGGUGGCGGCCGGAGGUGGCCGAAUGGCGGCUGAACAGAGGCGAAUCGAGCUGAGCCGAGCGGGGGAAGAACGCCUGGGCGCACGCGAACGGCGGCUGGGCGCGCGGUGACGGGCGGGUGGCGGUGCGGCGGCGAGACGAGCGGCGAGCGGGCGGCUGCCGCUUCUGCUCCGGCUUGCUGGUUCGGGGGGCGGGGAGAGAAGAAGGAGAAGAAGAGCGGGGUGCAUUCGCUCGGGCGUGCAGAGGAAGAAAGAGAAGAAAGAGAGAGAGAGAGAGAUAAGCAUUGACUGGUCAAAGAAAAGAGAGGGAAGUGAGCGGUGGGGGAUUUUCGC
rnacentral:lncRNA from 1 species